rnacentral:sRNA from 1 species
AAUAGAUAGACGGGUGGCAGGAUGAGAACCUCAAGGUUCGACCCGAGCGCGGUAGCGCGAGAGAACGGCGGGAGCGCAGCGGACGCCGGCCCCGCAGGGGUGAGGCGCGCAGCGGCGAAUAAUCCUGCCGUCCCAGCCA